rnacentral:tRNA from 1 species
CCCUCUAGCUCAGUUGGUAGGGCAUGGUGUUUGCAACACCAGGGUUGUGGGUUCGAUUCCCACGGGGG